rnacentral:rRNA from 1 species
AGCAGCCGCGGUAAUUCCAGCUCCAAUAGCGUAUAUUAAAGUUGUUGCAGUUAAAAAGCUCGUAGUUGAAUUUCGGGAUCAAUAUAUCGGUCAUGCUUAGGUAUGUACUGGUAUUAUUGAUUUCUCCCUUCUGAAGAACCAUGGUGUCAUUUAUUUGAUGUCGUGGGGAAUCAGGACUGUUACUUUGAAAAAAUUAGAGUGUUUAAAGCAGGCUUUCGCUUGAAUACAUUAGCAUGGAAUAAUGAAAUAGGACGUUUGAUUCUAUUUUGUUGGUUUCUAGGAUCGACGUAAUGAUUAAUAGGGAUAGUUGGGGGCAUUAGUAUUCAAUUGUCAGAGGUGAAAUUCUUGGAUUUAUUGAAGACUAACUACUGCGAAAGCAUUUGCCAAGGAUGUUUUCAUUAAUCAAGAACGAAAGUUAGGGGAUCGAAGACGAUCAGAUACCGUCGUAGUCUUAACCAUAAACUAUGCCGACUAGGGAUCGGAUGAUGUUAAUUUUUUAAUGACUCA